rnacentral:misc_RNA from 1 species
AAGUCGUAACAAGGUUUCCGUAGGUGAACCUGCGGAAGGAUCAUUAUCGAGUUUUUUUCGGUCAACCCCGAAAACUCCCACCCUUGUGUAUUUUCGCUGAAAAGCAGCUUCGGCGGGCCGUCGGACCUUAGCGAAUAGGGUUUUGACGUCGGCUCUGUGCGGAUUUGCGCCCGCCGAAGAACCAACUCUUUACAACUUGAAGUCUGAUAAACAAAAACAAUAAAUCAAAACUUUCAACAACGGAUCUCUUGGUUCUG